rnacentral:pre_miRNA from 1 species
AGCCCUCUGUAUCCGCGCUGAGACUUCGUCAGAGAUCAACCCGCUGGGGCUGGUGCAACUUCCCAAAUAAAUGAAGCU